rnacentral:rRNA from 1 species
GACGAACGCUGGCGGCGUGCUUAACACAUGCAAGUCGAGCGGUAAGGCCCUUCCGGGGGUACACGAGCGGCGAACGGGUGAGUAACACGUGGGUGACCUGCCCUCAGCUCUGGGAUAAGCCUGGGAAACCGGGUCUAAUACUGGAUAUGACUCCAUGACGCAUGUUGUGGGGUGGAAAGCCUUGUGCGGCUGAGGAUGGGCCCGCGGCCUAUCAGCUUGUUGGUGGGGUGANGGCCUACCAAGGCGACGACGGGUAGCCGGCCUGAGAGGGCGACCGGCCACACUGGGACUGAGACACGGCCCAGACUCCUACGGGAGGCAGCAGUGGGGAAUCUUGCGCAAUGGGCGAAAGCCUGACGCAGCGACGCCGCGUGAGGGAUGACGGCCUCGGUU